GACGAACGCUGGCGGCGUGCUUAACACAUGCAAGUCGAACGGAAAGGCCUUUUCGGAGGUACUCGAGUGGCGAACGGGUGAGUAACACGUGGGUGAUCUGCCCUGCACUCUGGGAUAAGCCUGGGAAACUGGGUCUAAUACCGGAUAGGACCGCACUUUAGUGUGUGUGGUGGAAAGUUUUUUCGGUGUAGGAUGAGCCCGCGGCCUAUCAGCUUGUUGGUGGGGUAAUGGCCUACCAAGGCGGCGACGGGUAGCCGGACUGAGAGGUUGGUCGGCCACAUUGGGACUGAGAGACGGCCCAGACUCCUACGGGAGGCAGCAGUGGGGAAUAUUGCACAAUGGGCGCAAGCCUGAUGCAGCGACGCCGCGUGGGGGAUGACGGCCUUCGGGUUGUAAACUCCUUUCGCCAGGGACGAAGCGUUUUGUGACGGUACCUGGAGAAGAAGCACCGGCUAACUACGUG
rnacentral:rRNA from 1 species